rnacentral:lncRNA from 1 species
AUGCCUGAACUGCAUCUCAUCAUGUUGUCAGUGAGUCUGAACCAGGCGUCGCGUCAACCACACAAACAGAUCGUAAACAGAAGCUGCAGCUCUCCUCCUCCCCCCCCACCUCCUCCUCCCCCUCUCCUCUUCUCUCCUCCUCCUCCUCCCCCUCCUCCUCUCUCCUCCUCCUCUUCCCCCCUCUCUCCUCCUCCUCCUCCUCCUCCUCCUCCUCUCUCCUCCUCCUCCUCCUCCUCCUCCUCUCUCCCUCCUCCUCCUCCUCCUCUUCCUCCUCCUCCUCUCUCCUCCUCCUCUACCACCUCCUCCUCCUCUUCCCCCUCCUCUUACCUCCUCCUCUACCACCUCCUCCUCCUCCUCCCCCUCCUCCUCUUCCCCCUCCUCUCUCCUCCUCCUCCUCCUCUUCUCUCCUCCUCCUCCUCCUCCUCCUCCUCCUCCUCCUCCUCUACCACCUCCUCCUCCUCUUCCCCCUCCUCUCUCCUCCUACUCCUCUCCUCCCCCUCCUCCUCCUCUCUCCUCCUCCUCCUCUCUCCUUUCUCCUCUCUCCUCCUCCUCCUCCUCUUCCUCAUCUCCUCCUCCUCCUCUACCACCUCCUCCUCCCCCUCCCCCUCAUCCUCCUCCCUCCUCCCCCCUCCCCCCUCCUCCUCCUCUCUCUCCUCCUCUCUCCUCCUCCUCCUCCUCCUCUCUCUCUCCUCCCUCCUCCUCCUCCUCCUCUCUCCUCCUCUCUCCUCUCCUCCCCCCUCUCCUCUCUCCUCCUCCUCCUCUCUCCUCCCCCUCCUCCUCCUCUCUCCUCCUCUCUCCUCCCCCCUCCUCCUCUCUCUCCCUUCUCCUCCUCCUCCUCUCUCCUCCUCCUCCUCUUCCUCCUCUCUCCUCCUCCUCCUCCUCCUCCUCCUCCUCCUCCUCCUCCCUCCUCUCUCCUUCUCCUCCUCCUCCUCCUCCCCCUCCUCUCUCCUCCUCUCUCCUCCUCCUCCUCCCCCCUCUCCUCUCUCCUCCUCCUCUCUCCUCCCCCCUCCUCCUCCUCCUCCUCCUCCUCUCUCUCUCCUCCUCCUCCCCCCCUCCUCCCCCUCCUCCUCCUCCCUCUCCUCCCCUCCUCCUCCUCCUCCUCCUCCUCCUCCUCCUCCUCCCCUCUCCUCCUCCUCCUCUCUCCUCCCCCUCCCUCUCCUCCUCUCUCCUCCUCCCCCCCUCCUCCUCCUCCUCUCUCCUCCCCCUCCUCCUCCUCCUCCUCUCUCCUCCCCCUCCUCCUCCUCCUCCUCCUCCUCCUCCUCUCUCUCCUCCCCCUCCCCCUCCUCCUCCUCCUCCUCCUCCUCCUCCUCCUCCUCCUCCUCCUCUCUCCUCUCUCCUCCCCCCUCCUCCCCCUCCUCUUCCUCCUCCUCCCUCUCCUCCCCCUCCUCCUCCCCUCUCCUCCUUCCCCUCUCCUCCUCCCCUCUCCUCCUCCUCCUCUCUCCUCCCCCUCCUCCUCCCCUCUCCUCCUCCUCUCUCCUCCCCUCUCCUCCUCCUCCUCUCUCCUCCUCUCCCCCUCCUCCUCCUCUCCUCUCCUCUCCUCCCCCUCCUCGCUCCUCCUCUCUCCUCUCUCCUCCCCCCUCCUCUCUCCUCCUCCUCCUCCUCUCUCCUCCCCCCUCCUCCUCUCCCCCUCCUUCUCUCCUCCUCCCCCUCCUCCUCCCCCUCCUCCUCCUCCUCUCCUCCUCCUGGACCUGCCUCCACAUGUCGCCUGGCUCUGCACGCUCUCAGACUAUUUUCCCACAGUGCGUCCGCCGCCAGAGAAAGCAGUUCCACCUCUUCAAUCAAGUGGGAGUGAUGGGAAAUCACCAGCGGCCUGCAGUCCAACGCCGCUCCAUGUUUUGGCGAGAAGUGUUUGGAGCGUGUUGGCAGGUGACCAGCUGUCAGCGUCUCAGUCCUGCUCUCACAAUCUAA